AAUAAGAUGGCCGAAGUUAAGCGAUAGACUGUAAAUCUAUUUAUGAGUUAAGUACUCUCUUAUUA
rnacentral:tRNA from 1 species